rnacentral:tRNA from 1 species
CAAGGGUUAGUUUAUGAAAAAAUAUUGAUUUUGGGGAUCAAUGAUGGGAAUUAAUUUCCUACCCUUGA